AUUGAACGCUGGCGGCAGGCCUAACACCUGCAAGUCGAACGAGGGGCGGACGGGUGAGUAAUGUCUGGGAAACUGCCUGAAGGAGGGGGAUAACUACUGGAAACGGUAGCUAAUACCGCAUACCAUCGGAUGGGCCCAGAUUGGAUUAGUUAGUAGGUGUGGUAAAGGCUCACCUAGGCGACGAUCCCUAGCUGGUCUGAGAGGAUGACCAGCUACACUGGCACUGAGACACGGUCCAGACUUCUACGGUAGGCAGCAGUGGGGAAUAUUGGCCAAUGGGUGCAAGCCUGAUGCAGCCAUGCCGCGUGUAUGAUGAAGGCCUUCGGGUGGUAAAGUACUUUCAGCGGGGAGGCGUUACCCGCAGAAGAAGCACCGGCUAACUCCGUGCCAGCAGCCGCGGUAAUUCC
rnacentral:rRNA from 1 species